rnacentral:rRNA from 1 species
UACAGAGGGGGCAAGCGUUAUUCGGAAUUAUUGGGCGUAAAGGGCGCGUAGGCGGCUUGGCAAGUGGAUGGUGAAAUCCCUCGGCUUAACCGAGGAACUGCCGUCCAAACUGCUUUGCUUGAGACCGGGAGAGGUGAGUGGAAUUCCCAGUGUAGCGGUGAAAUGCGUAGAUAUUGGGAGGAACACCAGUGGCGAAGGCGGCAUCCUGGACCAACACUGACGCUGAUGAGCGAAAGCCAGGGGAGCAAACGGG